rnacentral:lncRNA from 1 species
ACUCAGCACCUCUCUAACAGCUCUCGUCCUUCUCCUCCUCCUCCUCUCCCAGGCUCCGUGGUGUUACCACCCUGGCCUCUUGCUCCUGUUUGUCUAACAGGCCGAAUAUUCUUUUACCUCACUGCUUCCUUCUAUUGUUGGAAUACGCAGACCCAAAGUCUGCAGCUUCCUCCCCCACAUGUCUCUCCUCUGGGCACAUGUCUCUCCUCUUACAGCACCUGGGCAUGGUGUUAGUUACUGACCUGUGCUAAGUCCUCCAGGUGUCAACAAUAGAAAGACAGACUAGUUGAAGGAAUGGAUGGAUUGCUCUUACUGACGUCUCCAAGCUGUGUGUUGACUGGAUUCCUGCCUCCUUGGCUUCUGCAGAGAAUGAGGGGUCUGUCACCUUCCCCAGGUGCCACUGUCCUCUUCUCUAGAAUUUUUCUUUGGUCUCAUCUGAAAAAGAUAAGCCUAAGGAUGGAAGAUGAGGAAUUAGAGUUGCCAGGUGACCCCAGCCCAUCUACACUCAUGGCAAGGUUUGUGCUAGGUAGGGGGACAACACCCCUCACACACAAAACAAAACAAAACCCUGGAGACAUUUCUAGUAGUCUUGUCCUGUCUUUCCACCUCUGACCCACUCAUUCCUGUCAGUGUGGAGUUCCCUCUGCCCUGGUUUGAGAAUCCCAGGAAUGUGGAACCUAGGGCCUUCCCUCUAUGUUCCAGCCCCACCCCACCCCCCACACUGAACCCCCUGGCCCUGUGAGGGAAGUUUUAUUCAAGGAGGGGGGGAGGAGGUCCUGAGCCUCCAACUGGGAAAGAAAAGCAGUAUGGGGCUCAGCUCUUCCCCACCCCCACCCCCCUCUGCCCCUCCCCAAAUCUGUUCUGCCCCUUUUCAUCACAGAUGGCUGGCACCCUCACCAAAGUUUCUCUUGAUGGUAAUUGCUCCUAAUUGUUUUCCCUGGCUUACAAGGCCUUUCUUGGCUGCCCUUAGCACAUGAGACUCAAGGAGGGAGGCAAGCCCCUUUGGAGCUCGAAGCCCAGCUUUGCAGAUGUGAUUUAGAGGGAAGGAAGGCUCACAUCACAGAGAAUAGUAACCAGAAGAGAAGAGCACGGUGGGGGGUGCCCCCCCCCCUGCUUUCCUUCUCUAGGACGCUCAGUAGGUCUGUCAGAGAGGGACUGGCAGCCACUCUUUAGUAGAGCUGGGGAGCUUGAGGGGUGGUGGAUGUCCAGAAAAAGGGUCCCAUGGAAUCUCAUACACUGGUUAGAAAGGAGUUUGGGGGCGACAGCCAGAGAGAAGGCAUAGAAAUGUUUUAGUGGUUCAGUGUUUAGUGCAGAGCCUGUGGUGUGCUAGGCUCCUGUACUAGCUUUCUGUCCCCUGGGACAUCUUGCUCUAGCGCCAGCCCUAAGUGUCAUACCCAGUUCCAUGGCUUCUGGCAGCCUGAGCUACAACCCAGGGAUCUCCUACUCCCUUCACCCCGACUGCAGCUUCUCUCAGCUGUACAGGACCUGUUCUAGUGGGCACAGCAGCCUUUAUGAGAGGAAUCCAGGGGAAAAGAAGUAAGGAUGGAGAAUGGACGAGUUUUACACAGCUGCAGACAUCUAAGGAAGCCUCAUAGGUGUGCCAGAAAGGGAGGGUCUGGGCUAAGAACAUUCCCUUAGAUUCAGGGCGGGAUGAUGGUGCCGUCUCUACUGAAGCCUUUCUCAUGUGUGGUGGGUCAAGAUAUCAUAUAAGACUUUUAUAAAAAUUUCUCUAUAGGCAAGGGAAUAUUUUUCUGUCUGUAUAUGCAUCCAUUUACCUGUCUGUCUACUAACCUCUAUUCAACCAUUCACUCAAUUGCUUCUUUGGGUCCUACUCUGUGGCAGGCUCUGGGGUAUAGGGAGGAUAUGGUACGGUUGCUUGUCCUCACAGGAACUUCACCAGUUCCUUCUUCAGAAGCCAGAUCUCCCUUCUGUCAUGUCAGGGACCCGACUCCAACCUAGGAGGUCUUCCAGUGGAUAACUAGAAGUCUCAAACCAGGGGCCAUUGAUAAUUAGGGCCAGAAUAGUGGCUGGAGGAAUGAGGAAGGUACCCAGCCAGGUCACUGAGCCCAUCACUGUGGUUUGGCUAUGCUGGUUU